AUUGAAACACAUUGUCCUUCCUCUCUGAGAGUGGCUGAGGGCAGAGACUUUCUGUUUUCAUUUUUUAAUUCCCAGAGCCCAGCACAGAGCUGAGCCAACAACACGUUUCAUGUAUACUCGGGGAAAAAAUGGAAGAUCAGUCAGCUUCUGAGAGUAUUAUCUUCUCAUAGAAUCUUGGGGCUAAAAGUACAGUCCAACCUCUAAGGAGAUGUUUAACUUCUUGAGUUCACAGAUGAAGAAACCAAGAAAUAAAGAACGAACAUGACCUAUGGAGAAGUGGCAGGGCUGAAGAACCAGGGUGUUUCCCAUGUACCUCAUGGCCUGUUCAUCCAAAAUGAUGGCAGAAGCCACAGAACACUAGUUCUACGCAGGUGAGGGAGAAGGGGAGGCACUGUACUUGCCCAGCACUCUUUAAAUUUUAGCACAUUGCUGUGAGGCAGAGACCCUACCAGCAGGGCAGUAUGGAACUUUUGGGUCAAUAGCUCAUGAGAGGAGUACUAUAGACAUACAGCUUCAGGGCAUAGAGGGGUUAAGUACCUUGCGAAGAUUCAUGCAGAAUUGGGAUUCGAAGCAUGACAAGCUCUGAACCACUGUACCAGGCUGUGCCAGGCCUGUCCAAGAUGGGGAUAAAAUGAUUUUGGAGGGGCCAGCCCUUGCCUCCCCUCGUGCACAUGAUCCCACUGCUAGGCACUGCUGCCACCAGGAAGGAGAGUGGCAACACACAGGGCACUAUUGGAGGCUGUUCUGCUGUCACACACCAAGUCAGGUACAGAGUUCCAGGUCUUGAGAGAAAAGAUGCCAGGAAGGGACUAGACAUGCAAAAGAUUUAUUAGGGAUAAUAUCUGUGAAGAAUAAAAGGGGGAGCAGAAGAUGGCAGAGAGAGACUUUAGACCCUGAAAAGCAUGGGAGAAGGAAAGAAGAUUGCACAGGAAGUGUCAGAAUUCCUCAGCCAGGGCACUGGGGAAGCCUCAAGCUGAAAUUUCCCCUUAAAGCAGCUAGGUCCCAUGCAAAUGAGCUGCAUUAGCACCCCCACUCUGCUCAGUCAUUAGCUGAGGGCAGCCUCAGCACAAAGACAAGAGUAGAUCCAGAGGGCAGCAACUGGGACUAUCAAUUAGGUUUCCAACAGGAGGUGACCAAUGACUGCAUCCUCCUGGUCAUCCCACCCUGCCAGAGCUGGCUCACCAGGCCAGUCAUUCCAGUUAUACUCAGGCAGAGCUCCCCGUGCAGCAUCAACACACUUGACAUUUAGAGCAUGCCCUCCUUGUCAUAUUCAUCAUCUGGUACAGUGCUCUCCAUGUGGGGUUGGAGUGGUUCUAGGCAGGCCCACCUGCUUCAGAAUCAUCUAGGGGCUUGGGGCAGACUGCUGGGCCCAACCCAGACAUACCUAAUGAGAACCUUUGCAGCUGGCCUCAGGACUAUGCAGUUCCAGCAGGCUCCACAAAUGACUAGACACUGCCAGAGCCACCAGUUUUCUGUUCACUCUUACCAUAGCCAUCUCCGUUUCACCAGUGAGGAAACCAAAGCUCACAGAGGCCAGCAGCCUGGGGAGCAUUGCUUCAGGGGAACAAGAAAGUGGGGUGACAUGUUUUAGAAGGUGAGGAUAGAGACCUUUCUAUCAGAAGACACUGAAGGAACACCAGCUUAUAAUCAGCGUAUAUGGUCCAUCUCCUCCAGGGAGAAUGUCAGCCUUAAGAAGGCAAAAUCCUGAUUUCUUUUGUGCAGUGAGGUGUCCCCAGCACCCAACACAGUGCUUGCCACACAGCCAGUGCUCCAUAUUUGCUAAGAGAAGGUACAGUGCAUCUGGUAUGGUGGGCAUAUUUAGUGAGGAUACUGGGGUGGGGCCUGAGCCCGAGAUGGUGUUUAAGUCCCCAUUGUAAAGUGGAGUCAGAGGAGGGCUUUACUUUUCUAGGAUCCAAGAACACAAGGAGGUAGCAAGAAACCAAGGAUGUUGGGUUCAAGAUCCAGUGCUUAUUGCUCAAGGGUCCCUGCUGUGUGCUUGCUGCCUAGAACAGGGCCUGGUGUAUAACAGGUGCUCAUUAAACACCUGUUUUGAAUGAAGAGAGGAGAGAAAAAGAAGGGAGAGAGGGGAAGGGAGGGGAGAGGAGGCAGUAGGCCACAAUCCCUGGAAUCCACAGAAUCCCUUUCAGCCUUCCCUGCCUGCCUAUUCCCAGCUCAGAUAACCAGCUCCCUCCCUUUCCUUCAGGAUCCCUAGCUGACAGUUCCAUAAAUGAAUAAGCCUGUGUGGGGUUGGAAGGAUAUAAACUAACACACUAAUAAAACAAAUUUUAGGAUAUUAUAAUUCUGGACCGCACCAGUUUAUAACUACAAAAUGAGAUCACAUUAAUUUUUGUUGUUGUUGUUGUGCCCCUGCCAUGUGGAAGUUUCUGGGCCAGGGAUCAAACCCAUACCAGGGCAGCGACCUGAGCUGCUACAGUGACAAUACUGGAUCCUUAACCCACUGAGCUACAAGGGAGUCCAAAGUCACAUUAAUUUUUAAAGUGUGGUUUUUAAUAUGUAUAUUGUUUUUAAAAUCAAGAAGUACAAAAGCAUGUGGUGAAAGAUAAAACUCUACACCCCCCUCCCAAUGCCCCAGAUCCCACAGAAGGCAGUCAUUGCUAAUAUUUCCUUGCAUGUCCUUCUAGAGGUAUUCUAUCCUAUCCAUUCCAAACUUCUCACACACUUGCUGAUCCACUACACAAACCCUUUGUACCUUGCUUUUCACAGUAAACAAAAUACUCUGCACCUGGCUUGUUCAUUUUUUAAGGCUGCAUAGAAGCCCAUUAGAAUGUCUCAUCAAAUUUUCAUGCACAGCCCAAAAUGGCUUAAGUCCCUAUUCAACUCAAUUUUCACGAAGUCUGAUCUUUAGCCAGUUUCUUUUCCAACUUGAGGUGAAGACCCCAAUUUUGGAGCCUCCACUCCUGAUGUUCUGUAUGUGCUGCAUGUGUGCACAUAUACAUACCUUCUCAGAACAAACCAUAUCAUGUGAGCAUAAGACCAUCUAAAUUCUUAUAGAGUACUUCAUGCACUUUGUGCCCCAGGUCACAUAAUCUUUUAUUUUAAAGCCAUCUAUAUUCUGUCUCCAUUUCCCCAGGAAGAGAAGUUAAUGCCUUGUUUGUCAGGACAAAUGUACUGUAGGUGCCUCAAAGCCUCCAAAUGUUGAGAGAAACUAAAAAUUGCAGCUUUAAAAUGAAAGUUUGAUACUAAAUUCUAUGGUUUAGUUUUUGUUCCCUGAGAUCUGAUAACUUCAGAGUAAAAAGAGUUGUGAACCUUGAGAGCUUGUUGCUGGGUAUGGAGUACUGCAGGGCAGUUCCACAAAGCUGAAGAGAGAGGAAACCUUGGGGUCGCUGUGGGUUGUGUCUUUCGAGUGAUGGAAGAAACUGGCUGCAGGUGACUUGUCUGCCCAUUUCACAGUUUCAGCUGGGCUCGGCUCUGCCCACUCCCACUUUGCCCUGACAACUAACUUUCCUCUUGAUGUCACUUCAGUUGUGGGAAGGUGAAGAGAGGGCACGGGCUGCUACCAGCACCAUCUCACUCCUGAGUUUCAUUUUGGCUUUGUCUAAAGAAACACUUGCUAAUUAUAGCUAACAAUUAGAGUGUGGUAGGACUGGAGACAAGCAGACCUGGGUUUAAACCCCAGCUCCAUCUCAUCCCAGCCGUAUGACUUUAGACAGGUGGCAGUGUCUCAGAGACCAAUUUCUUCACCUGUUAACAGGUACUGGUGAACUGCCUAAUGCACAGCAAGUCCUUCUUCCUCCUCUUCUCUCUCCUUCCCCAAAGGAAAGAGUCUCACUGACUCCCUAGGUGUCACUUUUUACAAACCCUAAACCCGGGGAUGAGAAAGUGAUGGCAAGGCUGAUCCCUCUGCCCUGUCUGGGUCCUUAAUCUGAUCUCAUUCCUCGAGGAGCUGAUCCACGGGGAUGGUCGACUGUGAAAUCAUCAGUCUCCAUGCCUUUCCCCACACCUCCAGUGGCUCUGGAUAUUUAAAAAAGUUGUGAACCUUGCCCUGGGGAGAUGAAGAUAGCAAGAGGAAAUGGAGAAUGCAGUGGCUGAAGAAGCUUGGAGAAGGAUGGAGGAGGCCAGUGCUAAUUUUGCACAUUUUAAAAACAUAUGUAUUGCUAAGACUUCCAGAUAACAUCUAGCAAUCUUAGGUAACAUAGAAAGCAAAUGAAGUACCAUCCUUUAGUAUGUCAAAAAAAUUAUCACUAAUCCCUGUAAUGUUACUCACAACCUAUUCUGUUUUUCUGUACACGUAUAUUAACUUGGUUAGCAUAAGUUCAUAAUGUCCCUCAGGUUACUUUUAAAUUUACUCUAACAUUAUGCAUAAAAUUAAGUUUGUUAUUUUUUCCCUCUGUUCAUCCUCAUCCUCCCUCGUGUCUCUCUUAAACACACACACAAACACACACACACACACACACACCCCUGCCCUCAGAGUGAGAAGGCAGAGCCCAGGAGCACAGGUGUGGGUGGGUAGGCAAGAGGCGGGGAUGGGUGUGGGAGCUGUUCUCUUGCGAUUGCCUCUAUUUUCUCAGAGAAAUAGGAAGCAAAAUUGCCAACUGAGAGUAAAAUUUGGAAAGAAGGUUUGAGGUUUGAGAAAAAGAGUCUGACAGUCUGAUCUCUUUCUGCGAUGAAGAGUGAGAAUUUGCAAAGCAAAUGGAACAGGAUUUCUAAAGAGAGAUGCUCUGUCUCCAACUCCAGUUGAAGUUCUACACUGAAAACAACAAAUACUAAGUCCCCAGC
rnacentral:lncRNA from 1 species